rnacentral:tRNA from 1 species
GGGCCGCUGGUCUAGUGGUAUGAUUCUCGCUUAGGGUUCAAACCCUGAGUCCUUUGCUUGCGAGAGGUCCCGGGUUCAAUCCCCGGGUGGCCCC